CUACCCCUUUACUGCCAUUUGCAAUUGCUAGCAGAAACCCUCCUCGCUCGUGUUAUAAAAUACACAUUCACAUUCACAUUCUCAACUCAACCUCCAUCUCAUUUCCACCGCAACUCACUCCCUCUCUCCCUCUCUCUAAUUCAUUCGUAAUACACAGAUAUGAAUAAACUGGGAACAUAACGGUGCUUGGUAGAACACAGAGCUAAAAGCUAAGUCGGUUACAAGAGUAUCACUAUUAAUAUUAUGAGCACAGUGAGCAACCGUCUGUCAAAAGUUGAUAACCGGCAAAGAAUCAGUUUCAGCCCCUGCUUGAUUUAAGCAACAAUAAGGUUGACAAAUAAUCAGUUUCAGCACUGCUUGAACUUAAGCAACAAUAAGGUUGGAUUAAUUCAUUUGGUAUUUAUCAUGUGAUUAAGUCUCUGAUAGUUAAUUUUUUCUUUUUGAAAUUGCCUUGUGCCUUAUUUCUCUAUAAGGUUGACAAAUAAUCAGUUUCAGCACUGCUUGAACUUAAGCAACAAUAAGGUCGGAUUAAUUCAUUUGGUAUUUAUCAUGUGAUUAAGUCUCUGAUAGUUAAUUUUUUCUUUUUGAAAUUGCCUUGUGCCUUAUUUCUCUAUAAGGUUGACAAAUAAUCAGUUUCAGCACUGCUUGAACUUAAGCAACAAUAAGCCAAUACUCAAGCUUGCUCAUCCUUGGCCUGAGUGGUUCCAACUCAUGAAGUGCUUGCUCGACAAGGGAUACUUCUGUCGUGAAGAGGGAAAAAUGUUAUGCAAUGCUGGUAUGGGCAUGAAGGAUUUCAACGUCAUUAGAACCAAGUGUGCCUCAAUUUCGGUAGAGACCACUUUCAUCUUUUAAGGUAAAAUAUACAUUUUAAAAGAAAGUGUUCCUUGGAUUGCUUAUGGCACAUGAUAUAAUCUGUUUGAUGUUUAGUUAAUCAUUGGUGUAUUCUGUUUGUACAAAGGUUUGGCCGUGCUUCAGAACUCUGUCAGACUGUGAUAUUCAAUUGGACAAGAACCUAGGCUUGAUUUAUACCAUUUUUAUAUUCCAUA